UAAACCGGAGCCCUUAUUAUAGCGGUUUUAGGAAAAGCGAUAUUAAAGCACUGAACCAAAGUACACUAUAAUAGCGCUUUGUAAAUAACCGCUGUUAAAGCCAAAAACGCGGAGCUCUAUAAUAGCACUUUUUCAAAAACGCUAUUAAAGCUUAUAUCCUAUAAUAGCGCGUUUGACAUAACCGCUAUAGUAAUGGAAAAUAAUAAAUAAAAAACUGUGAUGGAUGGGUGUCGAACCUUUGACCCCUUAGUUGCUAAUUAAAUAAUAAUAAUAAUAAUAAUAAUAAUAAAAACAAAAACAGAGAUCUUCCAUUCUAUCAAAUAUUGGCACGAAUUUCACAUCCUCGAAUCCACGAUCUUCAAACCACUUUCAGCAAACAUUGAACUCAAACCCUAGAAUCAAAUUCAAUGUUUUUAUAGCUUCUUCAAACAAUUCCCAACAAACAUUGAACUCAAACCCUAGAAUCGAAAUUGGUCGUCUUCUAGCUUCAAACCAAGAGGAAUCGAACUCAGAGAGAAAUCGUUCCUCUGUAAUCAAAGUCAGAGCAAUCGGAUCAACUCAGAGAGGUUGUUUCCCAGAGAAAUCGAAGUUGGAUCAAUCGUUUCACAUUAAUCGUCCGUCUUCUCCAAUCACACUCGUUUUUUGCAAUAGAUUUCCUUCUCACAUCGUUGUCAAUCCUAAUAUCCAAGAAUCCAGAAACCACUGUGAACCCUAACCCAUAACCCAUAAAUCUUCUUCUGUCUGAGAACCUUAAUCCAAUAUCCCACCAAUUUAAAUGUCAAAAUUCGGACUCCUUGGUCGCGGUACUCUCACAACUCAAACUGCCGUCAUUAAGUAUGCCGAAAGUGUUGACGCUCCAACAAAAAUAAUCAGUCUAGCAGAACAUAACGGCACUGGAAUAUUUGAUCACAUUCCAGAAACAGCUAAUAGGCUUUCUGAGGAUAUGGUUAAAUGUAUAUCACCUAUAUACUACAAACUAGCAGAACCACCUGUAACAAAUCCUGGACUUCCAUCUCCCAGUACUUCAACAAGUGCGUUUUCUAUUGGAGAUCAAGGCGACAUGUGGAGUCUAAGGUUCAGAAACAACAACUCUUUUGAUGUACAGUUGGACAAUCUUUUUUUUUGGUUGAAGGAUUUAUGGAGUUUAGUGGCCCCUAUAGCACCAUAGUUGAGGUAUCCUGGAUUUAUAAUGAGAAUCAGAAAUUGAGUGAUACAGUGUAUUUGCUUCAGACUUACAGGAUUUUUUGGCUUAUGGAAUUCCACAAAACAAUGUGAAAAGAUUCUUUCUUCUUUGGAAGGCUAUAUAUAAUGUUGGAGGUCAUACGGUCAAUGCAGACACAAUACAAAAUACUAUACUAGGUUGCCGAAUGUCUCGUCCUGGACAGUUUAUUUGAAGACAACAAAUAUCGUACAUACUCUAAGGAUAAGUUGCAUGAAGUGAAGGAGGAAUGGGCAGAUUAUAUGGUCACAAAUAUUCUUCCCGAGGCAAAUUUUUUAAGGUGUGGCCAUCGUAAGAAGCUUACAUUGUUCCUCAACCUGGACUUCUUGGAAAUAUUAGAAUGGUGCUGGCUUGGCGAGAAAUCCUAAAGCGUUCAAGCCGUGUCUUGGUUGCUGCAUUAUUUCUUCUUCUGCAUAGUAUUAUUAAGUGUAGGGAUAGGCAUAGGAUUAUUAAGUGUAGGGAUAGGUGGGUGAUUAUCAUUAGCAGGUAUAGCACCUUUGUAUUAGCCUUUGGUGUUCUUAUUAUUUAUGUAUUAGCAUAACUUUGUUUUGGUGGGUGAGUCUUGUGUAUUGAAUAUCUAUAUGAAUGUCCAGCCCUACAAUCUUUGUAUACAUAUUUUGCU